AGUCCAUGAUGAGGGACCUUCCUUAACAACUCCUUAUAACGCUCCCAUGACUCAUGUAGAGAUUCUCCAUCUUGUUGGAAGAAAGUGGUGAUGUCAUUUAUCAUUUU
rnacentral:snoRNA from 1 species